ensembl:snRNA U1 U1 spliceosomal RNA
AUACUUACCUGAUAAUAGAGAUACCACGAUCAGUUAGUUAAGGCGGUAUUCUCAGGGUGAGGCCCACCCAUUGCACUGCAGGAGGGAGGUUGAGCCUUGCAAUUUCCCCAAAUGUGGGAAAGUCAACCAUGAAAUUUGUAGAAUGCAGGAGACGAAUGACCGGC